AGAGCGAACGCUGGCGGCAGGCCUAACACAUGCAAGUCGAGCGCCCCGCAAGGGGAGCGGCAGACGGGAGAGUAACACGUGGGAACGUGCCCUUUGGUUCGGAACAACCCAGGGAAACUUGGGCUAAUACCGGAUAAGUCCGUAAGGAGAAAGAUUUAUCGCCAAAGGAUCGGCCCGCGUCUGAUUAGCUUGUUGGUGAGGUAACGGCUCACCAAGGCUACGAUCAGUAGCUGGUCUGAGAGGAUGAUCAGCCUCACUGGGACUGAGACACGGCCCAGACUCCUACGGGAGGCAGCAGUGGGGAAUAUUGGACAAUGGGCGCAAGCCUGAUCCAGCCAUGCCGCGUGGGUGAUGAAGGCCCUAGGGUUGUAAAGCCCGUUUCGGCGGGGAAGAUAAUGACGGUACCGCAGAAGAAGCCCCGGCUAACUUCGCGCCAGCAGCCGC
rnacentral:rRNA from 1 species